rnacentral:rRNA from 1 species
UAGUACGAGAGGACCGGAGUGGACGAACCUCUGGUGUUCCGGUUGUCAUGCCAAUGGCAUUGCCGGGUAGCUAUGUUCGGACAGGAUAACCGCUGAAAGCAUCUAAGCGGGAAGCCCCUCCCAAGAUGAGAUCUCACUGGGACCAUGAGUCCCCUGAAGGGCCCUGGGAGACUACCAGGUUGAUAGGUCAGGUGUGGAAGUCCAGUAAUGGAUGAAGCUAACUGAUACUAAUUGCCCGUGAGGCUUGACCAU